AGUUUCUAAUCAAAAUUUUUAUCAAAACGGUCUAAUUGUUACGUGAUACAGGACAACGCCUGUCGUUCUUCUAGUUGAUAUAUAAAUUAAUUAUUAUUUUGUGAAUAUAGUUUUUAAUAAUAUACCCUACAAGAUAGAGGCAGUUAUAUAACACAGGCAGUGGAGAUUUUAGUUCGAAUUCAGAAGAAUUUACUAAGUAACAUCAAUAUUAAAAAUAUGUAGAAAGGAAACACCGCCCCAGGAAUAAAAUUCUGAAUCUAAUAUUGAACGCAGAAAACAGAUAUCACAAAUACAAUCACAUUUUCCAGCUGUUUAUCAACACAUGGACAUUCACUGUCGCUUCUAAUUAAUCGUUUGUAGAAGUUAAUUUAAUAUAAUUACAGAUACAAAUUUUUAUGCCUUAGCUGGAAGUAAAAAAGGAUUCAGAAUACAAUUUGUUUGUUACCCUUUCACGCCGAAACCACCUAACCGAUCAUCAUGAAACUUUGUACACACAUUCCUAAUGGUAUUAGAAAGGAUAUUGGAUAUUUAUUUUUUAAAACAAAUAAACUGUAAUAUAUCUAUAUUUUUAACGAAUUAUGAAAAAAAAAAUAUUUUGGCAGAUGAUAUCGGUUUGUAAAAUAAAUUUGAAAAUUGAAUAAAUUAAUUUAGCAGACAUGAUUGUUUGUCGAAUAAUUUCCAAAUGUAACAAAACAAAAAUGCAUCAAAAGCGUUAUUCAGACGAAAUUGGAGUUUUCUGGUUACCACCACCACCACCACGAAGAUGAUCAUCGCGGUAAAGUGUUUGUGUACAUACAUACUAUGUAUUUAGUUAUUUGAUUUUGUUACUUAUUUGAGAGAUUCAAUGCAGGCGAUGCCGCGGGACAUUAUUGGUGAAAAGCGCAGUUAACAAAAACAUAAAGUACGAGUAUAUAUUAGUUGCUUAAAAUUUUUUGUAUGUAUGUACUUAUACAUUUACCUAUGUUUCAAGUAUAAGUAAUUCCCUAUAAUAUUGUACAGUUGGAAUUAAGUAUCAAAGUUAAUUAAUAUGAAAAUAAAGAUAUAUUUUUGUUUUUAAUAUUUAAUUGUAAACUUAUUAUAUAUAUAUCAUUUUAAGGUACUAAUUAGUUAUUUCAGUGUCUAGUUUAACUAAGAAUUUUUGAUUAAAAUAAAAUAAAAAUCUAAAAAACGAGAAUUAAAA